rnacentral:rRNA from 1 species
UACGUAGGGGGCUAGCGUUGUCCGGAUUUAUUGGGCGUAAAGCGUGUGUAGGCGGCUUGGCAAGUUGGAUGUGAAAUCCCGCGGCUCAACCGUGGACGUGCAUCCAAAACUGCUUCGCUAGAGUCUCGGAGAGGAAGGUGGAAUGCUUGGUGUAGAGGUGAAAUUCGUAGAUAUCAAGCAGAACACCUGCGGCGAAGGCGGCCUUCUGGACGAUGACUGACGCUGAGACACGAAAGCGUGGGGAGCAAACAGG